UCUUCUGUUUAUCAGUCUUCAUGCAUUACUAUAAAAAAAACAUUACAAACAGAACAAUUGGUUGCACUAAACAUGCAUCAAAGGUUCAUAGAAACAAAGGAAAUAUGUACUAUAUGAUUUAUAAGCACAAUGAACUGUAUGGUAAAUACAUAAUUUUAUUUGAAGAUGUUGCUCUGAUAAAACGAAAAUUACAUCAAAAUCUACUCUACUUCAGACGAGCAUCUGCCUCAUUGUACAGAAUUGGUGCUGGCAUUUACUCAGUUCCUGCAAUCUUCUUCUUCAACUGCUCGAUAUCUUCAGCCAAUUCUUUUC
rnacentral:lncRNA from 1 species